UACAGAGGUCUCAAGCGUUGUUCGGAUUCAUUGGGCGUAAAGGGUGCGUAGGCGGCCAUGUAGGUCCGGUGUGAAAACUCGAGGCUUAACCUCGAGAUGUCAUCGGAAACCAUUUGGCUAGAGUCCGGAAGAGGAGAGUGGAAUUCCUGGUGUAGCGGUGAAAUGCGCAGAUAUCAGGAAGAACACCAAUGGCGAAAGCAGCUCUCUGGGACGGUACUGACGCUGAGACGCGAAAGCGUGGGGAGCGAACAGG
rnacentral:rRNA from 1 species